UCUUUUUAUGCACAAUGCAUAAGGUGAUGACAGCCAUCCGAUCAUGAUUAUAGUGAUGACACGUGUAUUGAUCUGAAGGUCUCACCUCUGACCCUGAGUCACACAGGAUCACAGUCUCAAGCUCUCUCAAGGUCUCAACAUCGCGAUUCUCUCUGAAUCUCGCCGUCGUCUUCUCCCUUCGUACUCGGUGGUGUACGGUGGAUUCUCGACGGUGGUCCUCACUUUUCUUUCUUGUUCUGUUCUUCUUUUUAGUUAUGAGUAGUUUGAUAAAAAGGGUGGCGGUGAUGGUUGUAAUAUGAGGAAGAUGAAGUACUCGUAGGUGUAUCAAGAUCAAUUUCCGUUCAAUUCAUCUCAUUCUCUUCAAUUUCAUAUACAUGUUGUAUCAGGAUCAAGAUCUAGGUUUUGGAGUUGGCUGGAAAUGCUGCAAGGGACAACAAGAAAAGUAGAACUUUGCUAAGUCAUAUUAUUCAAUUGGCUGUUAGGAAUGAUGAAUAAUUGAGCAAGCUUCUUGGUGAUGUUACCAUUGCUAAUGGUGGUGUUAUGCCUAAUAUUCAUAACUUGUUGCUUCCAAAGAAUACUGGUCCUUCCUCUAAGGCUGCUGCUGAGGAUGAAUAAACGAAUGAAUGAAUUGUUACUUGAAACUUGAUUUUGCAGAUGGGGUUAACAAAUUUAGUUUCAAUUUUUUGUAUAUGGGUUUAGUUUUAGAGGUUCACGACUUUGAUCUUUAGCUAUGUUAGUGGUUCUGUUAGUUACAGUAUCCGCUCAUCUCUCGAAUGAUCAAACACUUGGUAUUUUCAGAAUCUCAUCACAUCCACCACUUUAAGCUCUGCAAAUCUCUUGGUAAAUUAAUUCUUAGUUGUAUGUGUUGGAAAUUGAUUUGUUGUAUUAUCUGGUCUACACACUGUAUGGCUGAAAAAGUGUAUAUGGUACAUCCGAGAUGACGGCGGACUGUUUAGGCGUGCAGGAACAUAUUGGAUAAGUAGUGCUUACUCAAUUCUUGAAGUAGAGGCCCUAGUUCUUUUAGAGGCCACGAAGGAUGCAAGCAAUAUGAACUUAGAGAACAUAAUAUUUGAAACUGAUUCAAGUACUGUUGUUGUAGCUUUACAUGCUAACCAUGUUGGUGUCUCAGCCUUUAGUAUCCUCAUUUUAAAUAUUAAGAGAUUGUUGCUUUUAAAUUCCAACUUUGAGGUAAAGAGAGCAAAACAGCGUGGCAAGCUGCUGGACUCGAUGUGAUGAUUUCGGCGCGGUUUCAACACUACAAUGCGCCAAAAGAUGUUAUUAUGAAUAUUUGUCAUUAUGAGGGUAAACAUAUACAGCUGGGAAAUUCGCUAUGCUAGUGUGGAUCUUGUGGAAUAAUAGAAACAAUUGGGUUUGGAAUAAUGUGAAAGAUUCGGGGCAACAACUAUGCGGUAAAGCGAUGCAUUUGUGGAAUGAAUGGGACGCGGUUCAGCAAAUUCGCGACAGGAACAACAGCAGACCGCAAGUACAUCAGCAGAAUACACAGUGGAAACAACCAGAAUUUGGAUGGCUCAAGUGCAAUGUUGAUGCAGGUUUUCACAUCGAGCAAGGUGUUACAAGCGCGGGAUGGUGUGUUAGAGAUUACUUGGGUCAGUUUGUGCUAGCUGGUACAUCAUGGAUUAAAGGGAAAUGUUCCAUAAUUGACGGGGAAGCUCUUGCCUUGUUUGAAGCUAUGAAGGAGUUGGAGCGUUGGGGUCUCACUAAUGUCAUAUUUGAAACAGAUUCUAAGAGUGUAGUGGAUGCAAUACGCUGUUCAUAUGUUGGCCUUUCUGACUUUAGUAUUUUAAUGUGUAAAAUUAAGCAAUUGUUGUCUUUACAUUUAAACUUUGAGGUGAGUUUUACCAAGUGACAAGCGAAUAUGAUUGCUCAUACGCUUGCUAGGGCGACCAUUUCUUGAUCUAGUCGUUAUCUAUUUAAAUUACUACCUUCUUGUAUUGAACCUUUUUUGAUUAAUGAAAUGCUAUAAGUUUGUUUU